GAUUUUAUGGCAGCAAUACAAAGCCUAAACAAUUGGUUACACAUUAAUGUAUAGUAUUCUCAGGUCCCUUUGUUCAAGGUCCCCCAUUUUCCAUUUCCAGCUUAAAUUGGCAUAACAAUUGCAAUUAUUGGCAAUUUCAUGGGCACUUGGGGACAGCCUACAGCCCUACGACCGUCUGGUAUGGUCUGUAAUCGAGGCCAUGGUAAUUAGAACGCUUUUUACACGCCACUCGAAUCGAUCAGCGCGAACAAAAGGAGCGGACCAAAGAGAGGAAGAGCUGGUGAGAUAAGCUCGCUUGAGAGAGUGCGAGUGUAACGACUCAUGGCUCGCCUACGUCACAAAUGUAGUGUUUGAGUUUGUUUUGACUCUUGCUUCGCGUUGAUAAUGCAAAAUAAACGAUAAAUAGCAACUCGGA